AAGUAUUUUUGACUUUGACAUUGAAUAUAUUAAAGGUAGUCAAAAUUAAAUUUCUGAUUUUCUUACUAGAAAAUUUUUACAGGGUAAACCAUAGUCAUGCCUACUCCCUUUUGCUUUUAAUACAAAAAAGAUAUUAAACACUUUCCCGAGUCAUUGAAAGAUACCAAUAUACAGCCAACUUUAUUUGUAAAUGUGGUUUAAAACUAUCUAUUGAAGAAUCAGAAGUCUGAUGGAUAAUUAGAAGAAUCAAUUUCUUGAAAAAGAAAGAUUAUGGUUCUUUAGCUGCUCCAAUUACUCAAGAAAGUGUUUAUUCAACAGUCAGACUCGGAAGCACUUUUUCCAGUUCUAAACCAUCCAAGUCAAAAUCCAAGUCAGACAAUAAUGAACUCCUCAGAGUGGCCAAAUUAUUACUGGCCCAAGCUCAAGCAACAAGUGAAGAAGAGUCAGAUAGCUCAAAUAUGCUUCUGCACAUUCUGAAGCAUUAACUAGUAAAGAUCGUUACGGAUCCCAAUUUCAAGAUGCUUAAUACCCCUUUGCAUAAACAAGUCCAAUAUGCCAAUUAUUCUAAACAACUUCAGUCAAUAUUUCCAUUAUUAAUGGUUGAAAAACUGUUGUUAAAAUUAUUGAUCAGAAAGUCACAUGCAUAGUUACUGCCCCCGUCAUUCGCCCUAAAAGCAAAAGAUGAAUAGUAAAAGUCAAUUUUACUAUUUACCACUGUUCACUUUUUGACAUUCCUUGCUAUUGCCAAACUGAAAGUAGGAGACAGCAUUAUGGCAUCUCAUGUGCUAUCUUCAGCUUUCCCAGUUAGCUCGCACGAGCAGUACAGUGAGCAUCCAAUACUCAACAAUCAUCAUUCACUCCUCCAUUUAAAGCAUCUUCAGUCACAUUGACCGCGAACGAGUGCUUUAGCUGAUUAUUCAUGCUUUUGGCAUCCUUAAAAAAUAUGUGGCCAAUGUGACUUACAGUCUUACAUAUUUUUCUUUUCUGCUGCAUCAACAUAUAUGCACUUGUAAACUCAAAGGGUUGGUCGAGUGGGAGUUUGCCCACUACUUAGGAGCUUGCCUCCCCAAAGUUACUGGAUCAAAUCCCUUUGCCAGCAAUUUUGGAACCAGUUCAUACAGGACUCUUUCCGGCUUUAAUUGGGCCCCCUGCUAGUGGACAACGAGAUCGAUCCCUCGGAUUAAUGAGUCCUUUGGGCCAGAUACGGAUUUAUCAAAAAAACAUAUAUGUACUCGUAAUCUUAUAAUUCAUGUUUAAGAUCAUGAUAAGCCGACUAACUAAACUGGAAAUUUGAUCCAACGAGUUUGGCAUAAUGGAUUAAAAUACUUCUAUUAGGAGUUGAAUUGAGUUUGGUAUAAUGGAUUAAAAUACUUCUACUAUACUGCAGAUUCUCUUUCAAAAUCGACUUAGAUGUACUCAUGUAGUUUUUAAAUUCUACUGCAGGUCAAAUGAUCUAUGGGCUUGAUCCAACCAUAGGGAAAGCCGUAGUUCAAGUUGCCCAAUAGGUAGCUGAAGGAAAGCUAAAUGACCCUUUCCCAU
rnacentral:lncRNA from 1 species